CCAUGGCCCAUUUACAGCCAGCUCCACCCGCCAACAUAUAACUGCCAUUGUCCUAUCCAAGGAAAAUUCCUGCUUCCAAAGGGACAAAAGUGGUAAGCUUAAGCUUUGGAUCUACGAGAAAAUGGGAAGGCGAAAUGAAAUAGUGCAGGCAGUCUGCAUGGCGUUGAAUCGUGCCAGCUGGCUACUUAACGAGCAGACAAGAAAGAAAUGAAAAGGGGUUAGUUAAACAAUGUCCCUGACUGCGAGGCAUGACGCAGGCCGACGUCAAAAGUCUUGUGGACUUAUACAACUUAUUUCCAACAGAUAAAAUGCAUAGAAAAGUACACCAGAGGCAGAAAUGCUUUUACUUGUUGCCCCCUUUGCUUCCCUGACAAUGCCUGCCUGCCAGGGGAGUUGAACCAUCAUGAUCAUGCUCAUACCAUCUUGCUAAAAACAUCAGGUAAUCCCUAUUUUGAUGCACAUCAUCAUCUUGGGUUUUUUCCUCCCCUCCCCUCAGAUCCUGUACAAUUCUUCUUCUUCUUCUGCAGCUUUCGAUUGUGAUUGAUUUCUAUGUCAAAAUCUUGUCUUUAUGCUUCUUAUCACCUUCUUGUGAGCAGUUUCCAUCUGGGUUUUCUUUUCAUUGCCAAGACAGCAUGCUUUAUUGGUAUGUUAAAAACCGACUUCUCUUAGAAGUCAUUAAGGAUUUUUCUCUGCUUUUCAAUCUCAAGCUGUUUCCUACUUAAUAUUCUUGAUUGUGACACUUGAUGCGCUGGACAAUCGAUUGAUUCUCUUAUUGGAAGCCCUGUGCUUCUUUGCAUAUAUUCUCGAGUUGUCAUAUCGAUUGUGGUGUGGGAAUCCUGCUUUUUCGUCGCGAUUAAUUAAUAUUGUUAUCAAUAAAUUAGUAUGAUAAUUAAUUAGUUAGCUUCAUUGCAUAAAAAGAUUGCUGCUUGGUAGCAGUGGUGGCGCUUAUUUAUGAAAAGUUAGAGUCUUGUCCUGCAGAUGUGCGCUCGCUUCUGAAUUGUGAUGCUUAGCUGUAAGUAGCUUUUGUUAGGAGCGCCAGGGAUGAACGGAAACAUGGAUGAUGGGGAGGUAGAGCUUUCAGAUCAUGUUCUACUAUCCAACCCUGAUUCAUCUAGCAAUUUUCAGGAUUCAACAUCUGUAGAUUUAAUAAUUGACGAAUUCUUCAAGAACACCAGAACAUGUACUCACACUCACACUUGCAACCCACCUGGCCCUGAUGCCGCACAUACACAUACCUGCUACCACACACAUACCCAAGUUAUUACAUCUGAAGAGGAUGAUCACCAGAACAAUAAGAACAGCUCUAGUUUGAAACCAAGGAGGCCUUCAGGGAAUAGAGAAGCAGUCCGGAAGUAUAGAGAGAAAAAGAAGGCACAUACUGCUUAUUUGGAAGAGGAAGUUAAGAAAUUGCGCUUACUGAACCAGCAACUAGUCAGAAAAUUACAAGGACAGACAACACUUGAAGCAGAGGUUCUAAGGCUCAGAAGCCUUUUGGUAGACCUUAGAGCAAAGAUUGAUGGUGAGCUGGGUGUUUUCCCCUUCCAAAAGCAGUGUAACAAUGCCACUAUUUUGAAGGAAGGUGAUUGUGGGCUGCAAUCUACUGAUGAGUCAAUCGGUCUACAAUGUCAGACCGAUUUGCCAUGCUUCCAUCCACAUGCAGGAUCGUCAUCACAGGCUAGCAUUGGUGGAAGCGAGAAAAUGAAUAUAUCCUGGGAAGGAAACUGUCAGCCUGCAAUUGUAAAUUGUCAAGCUAACAUAAAUCAGAUGGAAGUGUUGAAGGACACCACGUGAACGCAGUCAAAAUCUUGGUGUCAUGUGCACCCCAAGAUGAGUAACUGCAAGGGAAGAGCUCAUUUUCAAGGGUAGUUGAAGAAGUAGGUAAAAGCAUGGCAGCAUCUCUGUCGCUAUGGACAAUUGGACUGCAUACAUGUUGUAGGAGGCCGACUGUGCGCUUAUCAGAAAACACAAGUUAAUUGGGCCCAACUCUCUUCGUUUUCGAAGAGGAGAUGCAGCUGGAUCAGAUAGUGCCUUCGUAUUUGGACCCAAUUCCGUUCAGGUUAGGGCCGACUACGGUCUGCAUUUUACCAUCGUAUGAAACCAGGCCUUUUAAUAGAAAUCACUCACGCAACAAGAGGACGAAAGCCUCUCUCGCUUUCAAGCGUCAUCCGGGAUGUCUGACCUGAAAAGAAGUUUAGACCAAAAAUUGGACUUAAUUUAAGUUAUUAUUGGCGAAAUAUGGACCCAAAUCAAAGAGUUGUGAACAAUCAUUUUCUUCCUAAGAAGUCUUACCUGCUAGUACUCAUAGUGAAUCGAUACUCCUGCAUAAGAUAAGUAACAUUUCAGAGGGGAUUUAUAAAGGAAAAAAAGACCACAAAAGCAGAAGAAGCAGACAGGUUGAACAGUGCAGAGUCACAUCCAGCAAAGGAAAGCUGAGCCAACCUCUCUCUCUGACUUCAUUGAAUGGGCAAUUUGGCCAACGAAGCAGUGAGGGGUCCCAUGCAUCCAAAUCAUUCAUGCUCACACUGCUUCCCCCAUUUGCCUUUAAAAAUAAAACAAAGUAGAAAUAAAUAUGUAUACGGGGCUUUCAUUUCAUUUCAAGACAAAUCAGGCAGCACAGGAGGCCACAUGGGUUAUCCUGUUCCUCCUCCGUCCUUCUGUCUCUCCUUGCCCUAUUUUUAUUUCCAAGUUUCCUCCCUUGUUCUUUUAAUAUCUCGAUUCUCGGCUUGUCUUUUCUUUU